AUCUUGAUAUCGUUUGACCUUACCACGUGAAACCCGUUCAACUUCCUUUUCAGGGUCAACCACAAAUCAGAACAAUGGCCGAGAAAGAGAAAACACCGCCACAGUCCGUGCAAGUGUUCGGCAGAAAG